rnacentral:rRNA from 1 species
GACGGAAGGUGCAAGCGUUGCUCGGAAUCACUGGGCGUAAAGGGUGCGUAGGCGGCCGUGCAAGUCUGGCGUGAAAGCCCCGGGCUCAGCCCGGGAAGUGCGCUCGAAACUGCGCGGCUCGAGUGCCGGAGGGGAGAGUGGAAUUCCUGGUGUAGCGGUGAAAUGCGUAGAUAUCAGGAGGAAUACCGGUGGCGAAAGCGGCUUCCUGGACCAGUACCGACGUUCAGGCACGAAAGCGUGGGGAGCAAACAGG